UACGUAGGGGGCAAGCGUUGUCCGGAUUUAUUGGGCGUAAAGAGCGUGUAGGCGGCCAUGCAGGUCCGUUGUGAAAACUCGAGGCUCAACCUCGAGACGCCCGAUGGAAACCGCAUGGCUAGAGUCCGGAAGAGGAGAGUGGAAUUCCUGGUGUAGCGGUGAAAUGCGCAGAUAUCAGGAAGAACACCCGUGGCUAAGGCGGCUCUCUAGUACGGUACUGACGCUGAGACGCGAAAGCGUGGGGAGCGAACAGG
rnacentral:rRNA from 1 species